rnacentral:lncRNA from 1 species
GAAUGGGAGCCCUAGUUGCAGUAACGUGUCAUAAUAAAUAAUUGCAUAUUCAGGAUUUUGUGAAAUAGGUGUUUACCUGCAGCAAACCUUUUCUUGAUGAGUGAAAAUCGAUACCCUGCUCCAACAAGUUCAAUGUCACAGCCAGAAAGGGUGCUUCCUUCACUUGUGAACUGCACAACCAAUGGAGAAGGUUUGCUUGGGCCUUCAGAUAACUGAAAUCUUGCCAACAAAGAACCAUUACCUCCAUUUUCUGACUUCUGAGAGAUAUCAGGAAUCUUCCACAAUAUUCUCUGUUGUUCAGCAUUCC